rnacentral:rRNA from 1 species
AACGUACGCUGGCGGCACGCCUAACACAUGCAAGUCGAACGAAGUAGCAAUACUUAGUGGCAGACGGGUGAGUAACAUGUAGGUAUCUGCCCUUUGGCCUGGAAUAACACGAGGAAACUUGUGCUAAUACCGGAUAAGUCUUUACGGAGAAAGCUUUAUGCACCAUUGGAUGAGCCUGCACUUGAUUAGUUUGUUGGUGGGGUAAUGGCCUACCAAGACUGUGAUCAAUAGCUGAUUUGAGAGGAUGAUCAGCCACAUUGGGACUGAGACACGGCCCAAACUCCUACGGGAGGCAGCAGUGGGGAAUCUUGCACAAUGGAGGAAACUCUGAUGCAGCGAUGCCGCGUGAGUGAAGAAGGCCCUUGGGUUGUAAAGCUCUUUCGUCGGGGAAGAAAAUGACUGUACCCGAAUAAGAAGGUCCGGCUAACUUCGUGCCAGCAGCCGCGGUAAUACGAAGGGACCUAGCGUAGUUCGGAAUUACUGGGCUUAAAGAGUUCGUAGGUGGUUGAAAAAGUUAGUGGUGAAAUCCCAGAGCUUAACUCUGGAACUGCCAUUAAAACUUUUCAGCUAGAGUAUGAUAGAGGAAAGCAGAAUUUCUAGUGUAGAGGUGAAAUUCGUAGAUAUUAGAAAGAAUACCAAUUGCGAAGGCAGCUUUCUGGAUCAUUACUGACACUGAGGAACGAAAGCAUGGGUAGCGAAGAGGAUUAGAUACCCUCGUAGUCCAUGCCGUAAACGAUGUGUGUUAGACGUUGGAAAUUUAUUUUCAGUGUCGCAGGGAAACCGAUAAACACACCGCCUGGGGAGUACGACCGCAAGGUUAAAACUCAAAUGAAUUGACGGGGACCCGCACAAGCAGUGGAGCAUGUGGUUUAAUUCGAAGAUACGCGCAGAACCUUACCAACACU